rnacentral:rRNA from 1 species
AUUGAACGCUGGCGGCAGGCCUAACACAUGCAAGUCGAACGAGUGGCGGACGGGUGAGUAAUGUCUGGGAAACUGCCUGAUGGAGGGGGAUAACUACUGGAAACGGUAGCUAAUACCGCAUACCAUCGGAUGUGCACAGAUGGGACUAGGUAGUAGGUGGGGUAAAGGCUCACCUAGGCGACGAGCCCUAGCUGGUCUGAGAGGAUGACCAGCCACACUGGAACUGAGACACGGUCCAGACUCCUACGGGAGGCAGCAGGGGGGAAUAUUGCACAAUGGGCGAAAGCCUGAUGCAGCCAUGCCGCGUGUAUGAAGAAGGCCUUCGGGUUGUAAAGUACUUUCAUCGGGGAGGCGUUACCCGCAGAAGAAGCACCGGCUAACUCCGUGCCAGCAGCCGCGGUAAUUC